GACGAACGCUGGCGGCGUGCCUAAUACAUGCAAGUCGAGCGCAGGAAACUGAUGGAACUCUUCGGAGGGAAGGCAGUGGAAUGAGCGGCGGACGGGUGAGUAACACGUAAGGAACCUGCCUCAAGGAUUGGGAUAACUCCGAGAAAUCGGAGCUAAUACCGGAUAGUUCAUCGGACCGCAUGGUCCGUUGAUGAAAGGCUCUUCGGCGUCACCUUGAGAUGGCCUUGCGGUGCAUUAGCUAGUUGGUGGGGUAACGGCCCACCAAGGCGACGAUGCAUAGCCGACCUGAGAGGGUGAUCGGCCACACUGGGACUGAGACACGGCCCAGACUCCUACGGGAGGCAGCAGUAGGGAAUCUUCCACAAUGGACGAAAGUCUGAUGGAGCAACGCCGCGUGAGUGAUGAAGGUUUUCGGAUCGUAAAACUCUGUUGUAAGGGAAGAACACGUACGAGAGGUAAUGCUCGUACCUUGACGGUACCUUACGAGAAAGCCACGGCUAACUACGUGCCAGCAGCCGCAGUAA
rnacentral:rRNA from 1 species